rnacentral:rRNA from 1 species
CAGUAGCCGCGGGAAUACGAAGGGGGCUAGCGUUGCUCGGAAUUACUGGGCGUAAAGGGCGCGUAGGCGGACAGUUAAGUUGGGGGUGAAAGCCCGGGGCUCAACCUCGGAAUUGCCUUCAAUACUGGCUGUCUUGAGUAUGAGAGAGGUGUGUGGAACUCCGAGUGUAGAGGUGAAAUUCGUAGAUAUUCGGAAGAACACCAGUGGCGAAGGCGGCUUACUGGCUCAUUCUAGACGCUGAGGUGCGAAAGCGUGGGGAGCAAACAGGAUUAGAUACCCCUGUAGUCCCUGUCUCUUAUAC